AUACAGAGGGUGCAAGCGUUAAUCGGAUUUACUGGGCGUAAAGCGUGCGUAGGUGGCCAAUUAAGUCAAAUGUGAAAUCCCCGAGCUUAACUUGGGAAUUGCAUUCGAUACUGGUGGCUAGAGUAUGGGAGAGGAUGGUAGAAUUCCAGGUGUAGCGGUGAAAUGCGUAGAGAUCUGGAGGAAUACCGAUGGCGAAGGCAGCCAUCUGGCCUAAUACUGACGCUGAGGUACGAAAGCAUGGGGAGC
rnacentral:rRNA from 1 species